rnacentral:rRNA from 1 species
CCUACGGGUGGCAGCAGUGAGGAAUAUUGGUCAAUGGGCGAGAGCCUGAACCAGCCAAGUCGCGUGAGGGAGUACUGCCCUAUGGGUUGUAAACCUCUUUUGUCGGGGAGCAAAAGCCGGACGUGUCCGGCUGUGAGAGUACCCGAAGAAAAAGCAUCGGCUAACUCCGUGCCAGCAGCCGCGGUAAUACGGAGGAUGCGAGCGUUAUCCGGAUUUAUUGGGUUUAAAGGGUGCGCAGGCGGAUUUUUAAGUCAGCGGUAAAAUCGUGGGGCUCAACCCCAUCCAGCCGUUGAAACUGGGGAUCUAGAGUGUGCGAGAGGUAUGCGGAAUGCGUGGUGUAGCGGUGAAAUGCAUAGAUAUCACGCAGAACCCCGAUUGCGAAGGCAGCAUACCGGUGCACAACUGACGCUCAGGCACGAUAGCGUGGGUAUCGAACAGGAUUAGAUACCCUUGUAGUC